rnacentral:rRNA from 1 species
AUUGAACGCUGGCGGCAGGCCUAACACAUGCAAGUCGAGCGGAUGAAGGGAGCUUGCUCCUGGAUUCAGCGGCGGACGGGUGAGUAAUGCUUAGGAAUCUGCCUGGUAGUGGGGGAUAACGUCCGGAAACGGGCGCUAAUACCGCAUACGUCCUGAGGGAGAAAGUGGGGGAUCUUCGGACCUCACGCUAUCAGAUGAGCCUAGGUCGGAUUAGCUAGUUGGUGGGGUAAAGGCCUACCAAGGCGACGAUCCGUAACUGGUCUGAGAGGAUGAUCAGUCACACUGGAACUGAGACACGGUCCAGACUCCUACGGGAGGCAGCAGUGGGGAAUAUUGGACAAUGGGCGAAAGCCUGAUCCAGCCAUGCCGCGUGUGUGAAGAAGGUCUUCGGAUUGUAAAGCACUUUAAGUUGGGAGGAAGGGCAGUAAGUUAAUACCUUGCUGUUUUGACGUUACCAACAGAAUAAGCACCGGCUAACUUCGUG